AUUUUAUUUGUAACUAGUCAUCACACAUAAGGUUAAAUUUCAUGUUGGUUAGAUAUCAUAUUAUAUUAAGUACCUAUAUAAUAACUGAGGGACGGAAACCUGUGGUACCUACCAUAAUUAUAAAUUGAAUAACUGUUGAUAGCUUUAUUUUUCGCAUGUUGUGAAUUGUUAUGUAUAUUCUGUGAUAUAUGAUCUGCUUGAAUGUAAUAUACUUAGUUACCUUAUAUGUAUGUAAACGUUUGUUUAAAAUAAUAAACAGUCAAUGUACCUAUUGAAAAUAUUCAUAUCUUACUAGUAAUAAAUGUAUGAGCAUUG